UACGUAGGGGGCAAGCGUUGUCCGGAAUCAUUGGGCGUAAAGAGCGUGUAGGCGGCCAGAUAAGUCCGCUGUGAAAACUCGAGGCUCAACUUCGAGCUGUCGGUGGAAACUAUUUGGCUAGAGUCCGGAAGAGGAGAGUGGAAUUCCUGGUGUAGCGGUGAAAUGCGCAGAUAUCAGGAAGACACCCGUGGCGAAGGCGGCUCUCUGGUACGGAACUGACGCUGAGACGCGAAAGCGUGGGGAGCGAACAGG
rnacentral:rRNA from 1 species